rnacentral:rRNA from 1 species
GCGAGUGAAGCGGGAAAAGCUCAAAUUUGAAAUCUGGUAGUCUUUGGCUGCCCGAGUUGUAAUCUAGAGAAGUGUUAUCCGCGCUGGACCGUGUAUAAGUCUCCUGGAAUGGAGCGUCAUAGAGGGUGAGAAUCCCGUCUUUGACACGGACUACCAGGGCUUUGUGAUGCGCUCUCAAAGAGUCGAGUUGUUUGGGAAUGCAGCUCUAAAUGGGUGGUAAAUUCCAUCUAAAGCUAAAUAUUGGCGAGAGACCGAUAGCGAACAAGUACCGUGAGGGAAAGAUGAAAAGAACUUUGGAAAGAGAGUUAAACAGUACGUGAAAUUGUUGAAAGGGAAACGCUUGAAGUCAGUCGCGUUAGUCAGGAAUCAGCCUUGCUUUUGCUUGGUGUAUUUCCUGGUUGACGGGUCAGCAUCAAUUUUGACCGGUGGAAAAAGGCCAGGGGAAUGUGGCAUCUUCGGAUGUGUUAUAGCCUCUGGUUGCAUACAUCGGUUGGGAUUGAGGAACUCAGCACGCCGCAAGGUCGGGUUUUAAACCACGUUCGUGCUUAGGAUGCUGGCAUAAUGGCUUUAAUCGACCCGUCUUGAAACACGGACCAAGGAGUCUAACAUGCCUGCGAGUGUUUGGGUGGAAAACCCGAGCGCGUAAUGAAAGUGAAAGUUGAGAUCCCUGUCGUGGGGAGCAUCGACGCCCGGACCAGACCUUUUGUGACGGAUCCGCGGUAGAGCAUGUAUGUUGGGACCCGAAAGAUGGUGAACUAUGCCUGAAUAGGGUGAAGCCAGAGGAAACUCUGGUGGAGGCUCGUAGCGAUUCUGACGUGCAAAUCGAUCGUCAAAUUUGGGUAUAGGGGCGAAAGACUAAU